AGAUUCUGAUUCAUCCUCUUGAGAUUUUAAAAUUAAAAUAGGUUGGGUGGGCUUGCAAUUUUACUCAGUUUCAGUGAAUAAGUAAACAAUUGAAUCGGUUCAAUUGCAUGGUGCCAACGAAAUCGAAUGCUAAUUCCCAUUUUAUUGAAUUAACCGAUCGACGUGCUAGCGGACAUUUAUUUUGAAUUCGAUAAUGUUUGCAAAAAUAUUUCGACAUAUUUAUUUAUUUUAUUAUUAUGAGAAUCAAG
rnacentral:lncRNA from 1 species